rnacentral:rRNA from 1 species
CCUACGGGAGGCAGCAGUAGGGAAUUUUGCGCAAUGGGCGAAAGCCUGACGCAGCAACACCGCGUGAAUGUUAAGCCCUUCGGGGUGUAAAGUUCUGUCAAUAGGGACGAAUUUUGACUGUACCUAUAAAGGAAGCACCGGCUAACUCCGUGCCAGCAGCCGCGGUAAUACGGGGGGUGCAAGCGUUGUCCGGAAUCAUUGGGCGUAAAGCGUUCGUAGGCGGCAAGGUAAGUCUGAUGUUAAAGCCCGGGGCUCAACUCCGGUUCGGCAUUGGAUACUGUUGAACUGGAGUACAGGAGAGGUAAGCGGAAUUCCUAGUGUAGCGGUGAAAUGCGUAGAUAUUAGGAGGAACACCAGUGGCGAAGGCGGCUUACUGGACUGUAACUGACGUUGAGGCUCGAAAGCGUGGGGAGCAAACAGGAUUAGAUACCCUUGUAGUC